GCACAACGCGAAGAACCUUACCUACUCUUGACAUCCAGAGAACUUAGCAGAGAUGCUUUGGUGCCUUCGGGAACUCUGAGACAGGUGCUGCAUGGCUGUCGUCAGCUCGUGUUGUGAAAUGUUGGGUUAAGUCCCGCAACGAGCGCAACCCUUAUCCUUUGUUGCCAGCGGUCCGGCCGGGAACUCAAAGGAGACUGCCAGUGAUAAACUGGAGGAAGGUGGGGAUGACGUCAAGUCAUCAUGGCCCUUACGAGUAGGGCUACACACGUGCUACAAUGGCGCAUACAAAGAGAAGCGACCUCGCGAGAGCAAGCGGACCUCAUAAAGUGCGUCGUAGUCCGGAUUGGAGUCUGCAACUCGACUCCAUGAAGUCGGAAUCGCUAGUAAUCGUAGAUCAGAAUGCUACGGUGAAUACGUUCCCGGGUCUUGUACACACCG
rnacentral:rRNA from 1 species